ensembl:lncRNA
AUAUCAUAUGCAUGCCAAUUUUUGUGUAUAAACAGUAAGCGAAAUCAAAACAUAUACUCGUCCUAUUGAUACGCAUUUGAGAUGAGAUCGGGUUGACUGCAAUACAUUCUACACUGUAAAAAAUUAUUUAGCAGUUUAGUUGUUUCAACAAAUUUUUUUAUGUUGACAACUUGCAGUGAAUUUGUUCAUUCAACUAAAAAAUUUAAGUUUACACUGUCUCAACUAGUUUGAAAGUUGACUCAACUAGAUUAUUUGUCCUAUCAACUUAAAAAAAUGUGUUGAAUCAAUUCAAUAGCAAUAUCACGUUCUCAACAUUACUUAUCGCGAGAUCUCGUCAUUCUCGUGAAGACCAUUACAGGCAGAAGACGGUCAUCAGCCAUAGGCUACUGGUCAGCUUCUCCACAAAGUUUGUUCAUUUUACCAGAAUACAACUUUGGGAAACGAAGGAGCACCAUAGAUGAGAACCUUGUUUUCAGAUGAAGAAAAAAAGAGAAGCUUGGUUCAGAUGAAGUUCUGAAGGUAAAACGUUAUAAACUCUUCUUUCAGUUUUCUGAAGUAACGUUAGUCAUUCAAGUACCUCACCAGAACCCAGUGUAAUGCCGCGUGAAUAUCUGCUUUUAUACAGUCUAUGGUGAAUAUACAGUCAUAAGUAAAUUGCAUACGUUCAAAACUAUAUAUUUUAGAAUAACAGUAAGAAUAGCAUAGCUAUAUCUUGUAUAAAUAGCCAUACAAUUAGGAUAGACACAAAUGUGUGAAAUUUCCUUUUAUUUUGUUAUAAUUCUGUGUUGUUUCAUUUAAAAGCAUGGUCUGGAUGGUAAAGUUUGUCUUUGGUAAUUAAAACAAACUUGUCAAUACUUUUUACUUUCUCUGUAAAGAUUUAUUUAUAUAUUUAUGUUUAUUAUUUUACAGUGUUUUAACAUGUUUCUGUAUUUUUCAUGUUUAUGAUAUUUUGGAAUGACUGGAGAUAAGGCCAGAAUUCAAUAAUCUUGUGGAUGGACCGCAGCAAGUCCUUUUGAGUUGUAUCCAUCAUAAUGCUAUCCAGACAUAAUGGAAAUGACAUUCACAUUGUAGAGCUUGGACAAAGUUGUAAGUGAAUUUAUUUAUUAAUAAAUGCACAUUUAUUGGAGUCUAUAAGCUUUUU